rnacentral:rRNA from 1 species
UACGGAGGAUGCAAGCGUUAUCCGGAUUUAUUGGGUUUAAAGGGUCCGCAGGCGGAUUAUUAAGUCAGUGGUGAAAGCCUGCAGCUUAACUGUAGAACUGCCAUUGAUACUGAUAGUCUUGAGUGUGGUUGAAGUGGGCGGAAUAUGACAUGUAGCGGUGAAAUGCAUAGAGAUGUCAUAGAACACCAAUUGCGAAGGCAGCUCACUAAACCAUUACUGACGCUCAGGGACGAAAGCGUGGGGAGCAAACAGG